rnacentral:rRNA from 1 species
AUUGAACGCUGGCGGCAUGCCUUACACAUGCAAGUCGAACGGUAACAGGUUAAGCUGACGAGUGGCGAACGGGUGAGUAAUGUAUCGGAACGUGCCCAGUCGUGGGGGAUAACUGCUCGAAAGCGCAGCUAAUACCGCAUACGACCUGAGGGUGAAAGCGGGGGAUCGGAAGACCUCGCGCGAUUGGAGCGGCCGAUAUCAGAUUAGGUAGUUGGUGGGGUAAAGGCCUACCAAGCCUACGAUCUGUAGCUGGUCUGAGAGGACGACCAGCCACACUGGGACUGAUCCACCGCCCAGACUCGUACGGGAGGCAGCAGUGUGGAAUUUUGGACAAUGGACGCAAGUCUGAUCCAGCCAUGCCGCGUGCGGGAAGAAGGCCUUCGGGUUGUAAACCGCUUUUGUCAGGGAAGAAAAGGUUCUGGUUAAUACCUGGGACUCAUGACGGUACCUGAAGAAUAAGCACCGGCUAACUACGUGCCAGCAGCCGCGGUAACAC